CCUACCGUGAGUAGUUUUGCGAAAAUAUUCAUGGUACGAUCACGGAUGGGAGGCGAACGUGUAGAUACGUGAGGAGCCUUUAUACUUCCAAUGUUGCUGACGUGGAUAGUAGUGUCAAAAGCCGUGAUGGAUCAUUCACGUUGUAGAACUAAUUGUAUUGUGAGCCUGCUUACCUAACCUGAAGAUUUGACAGGUCCAGUUUAUUACAGAAGCGACUGCCUGUCUGACCUUCCAACCCGCGAAGGGAAAACCAGCCCAAUACAGGUUAGGUGACAUAUGAAAAUGCAUUUCUCGGGAAUGUGGGUUUUCUCAGGAUGUUUUCCUUCACCGCUGAGCACGUGAUAAUAAUUUAUGAAUUAUAACAUAUUAUUCUUAA